GGCCAUACCACCCUGAACAUGCCCCAUCCUGUCUGAUCUCAGAAGCUAAGCAGGUGUUGGGCCUGAUGAGUACCUGAAUGGGAGACCGCGUGGGGAGUACCAAUUAAAAGAAGUCA
rnacentral:rRNA from 1 species